CUUCACCGAGCCGAGCCACAGCGGCCGGUCCCCGGCACGGUCUUGACCGUACGUCGCCAGCACCGCCUGCGCCUC
rnacentral:antisense_RNA from 1 species